AGUAAAGCCAAGGACUAGGGAAGAAAAGACUGUAAGUUAUUCCUUCCCUCAAGUAAAGGUUUCAAAAGGUGCUAAAAAGAAAAAAAGAAAAGAAAAGAAAAGGUUUCAUGACAUGAACAUAAGGCUCAAAAGCUUUAAUGGAUCUUUUGGAAUUUUCCUGGAACCCAGGACUUAACCAUUAGGUAACAAAUUUUUCAAGUACUCUGCUGGAGAGGGUUUGAAGUUCAAACCCCACUGAGGGUUCCUGCUAGGGAUGUAUGUUUCUCUUACAUUUCCCUAACCAAUAUCCAUCCUGGCUAAGGCGGGAAAAAAGAAAAAGAAAGAAAAAAAUAAAAGAAGAAGAAAAAAAAACACAAAGGAAAACAAGAUCUAAUGAUUUCCUUAUGACAGCAGCUUGAAGAAACACAAGCUACGGACUGGCAAACAGAAGAAACCAGGAGAUGUGAGAAAGAAGCAGGUGUCCACAUUAUACGUGUCAUUUCAGCAGAUACUGGACCUACAUGUGGAUGCAAGCAUGAGCUUCACAGAGUUCAUUGGUCUUUCACAGCAUCAAAGAGAUCACCUACAUUGCAAAGCAAGGACUGCGUAUAUCAACUUCAAUCCUCAGACACAACAGACCAGCCUCCAGACACUUCUGAACCAAUGGGAAGAGUAAGACUGAUGGUAGCAGAUGACUACUGCCCUAUUUAAGCAGGAAUCGCAUCUCUGCUGAAUAUUCUACUUGCCUGGGGAGACGGCUAUGUAAAAUGCCAAAACGCCAGGACAGGAUCCACAGCUUACAAAUGUUUGGUUAUAGUUACAGGAAUUACGGCAUUGUAUACAAAGUUGUGACUACUUUGUGAUAAUUCAGACUCCGACUUGAACAGCUUGAAGAGCUGAGUAGCAAUUUAUUACUGCUAAUAAAGAAUGUAAAAAAUUGUGUCC
rnacentral:lncRNA from 7 species